UGAGAACAUAGUGUUAAUCAGAAAAGUU
rnacentral:piRNA from 1 species